UCCCCUCCACCGGGUGAAGCUUCCUCUCCACCGCCAGGCUCAAGCUAGGUCCCUGCCUUCACCAUUAGGCCAACUUUCCUUGCGGCCCACCGGUUCCAGAAGCUGAGACCUCUUGGAUCGUUGGCAGGCCGCAGAACGAAGCAGAGAUCACAUUUUCUUGUUCAAGCUCUGUGCUCCGGCCGAGGGGGCAAUGGCGACUUCGUGUGUCCUCCUGCAUACUGGGCAGAAGAUGCCCCUGAUUGGGCUGGGCACCUGGAAGAGCGAUCCUGGCCAGGUGAAAGCAGCUGUUAAGUACGCCCUGAGUGUAGGCUACCGCCACAUUGACUGUGCUGCUAUCUACGGCAAUGAGACCGAGAUCGGGGAGGCCCUGAAGGAGAAUGUGGGACCUGGCAAGGCGGUGCCGAGAGAGGAGCUGUUUGUGACUUCUAAGCUGUGGAACACUAAACACCACCCUGAGGAUGUGGAGCCUGCCCUCCGGAAGACGCUGGCUGACCUCCAGCUCGAGUAUUUGGACCUGUACCUGAUGCACUGGCCUUAUGCAUUUGAGCGGGGAGACAACCCUUUCCCUAAGAAUGCCGAUGGGACUAUCCGCUAUGAUUCUACCCACUACAAGGAGACCUGGAAGGCUCUGGAGGCACUGGUGGCUAAGGGGCUGGUACGGGCACUGGGCCUAUCCAACUUCAGCAGUCGACAGAUUGAUGAUGUGCUCAGUGUGGCCUCUGUGCGCCCGGCUGUCCUGCAGGUGGAAUGUCACCCGUACUUGGCUCAGAAGGAGCUGAUUGCCCACUGCCAAGCACGCGGCCUGGAGGUGACUGCUUAUAGCCCUCUGGGCUCCUCUGAUCGAGCUUGGCGUGAUCCUGAUGAACCGGUCCUACUUGAGGAGCCAGUCGUCCUGGCCCUGGCUAAAAAGUAUGGCCGGUCUCCAGCUCAGAUCCUGCUCAGGUGGCAGGUGCAGCGGAAAGUGAUCUGCAUUCCCAAGAGCAUCACCCCUUCACGUAUCCUCCAGAACAUUCAGGUACUUGGUGGUGUUUGACUUUACGUUUAGCCCAGAGGAGAUGAAGCAGCUGGAUGCCCUGAAUAAAAAUUGGCGAUACAUUGUGCCCAUGCUUACAGUGGAUGGGAAGAAGGUCCCGAGAGAUGCAGGGCACCCUCUGUACCCCUUUAAUGAUCCGUACUGAGGACCCCCACUUCCUGGUUUCCUUCCAGCUCUCCAGCUACAAGGUCCUCCCACGUGCAGAAAGGAAUUAAUAAAGCUAUUGGAGCAUCCACAC